AUGACCCCCGGCGGCGCGGGGAAAAGGCGACCGUUUGCAUCCAGGAGCAUGUGGCCAUCGACGUGUGCCCCGGCCCCAUCCGCCCCAUCCAGCAGAUCUCUGGCUACUUCCCCCACUUCCCGCGGGACCUGCCCCAUGACGCCCCCGCGCGCCCAGCCACUGCCAGCGCCGGCCGCCGCCGCCCCUCUGACGGCGCCCGCGACCACGACAAGGAUGGCGACCAUCUCUUCGGAAGCCUAACGAUCCAGCACAGGUCCCAGCCCUGCGCAGCCGCCCGCCAAGCCGCCAGAGGACCAGCCGAACGCCAAAGGCUAGGACUGGCCCAGGCACCUGCAGGCCCUGGCAGCUCCAUCCCCCGAUUUCCCGUUCACACCCUUUGCUGUUCUCUACCCGGGACCUGAAGCCCAUGGACCACAAUGGGCUGGCAGACCCCUGUGUCAAGCUGCACCUGCGGCCAGGAGCCAGGAAGGCAAAUAAGCUUAGAACAAAAGCUCUCCGUAACACUCUGAACCACGUGAACAAAACCCUCACUUACUACAGGAUCACUCGUGAUCCACAAGACCCUGCAG
rnacentral:lncRNA from 1 species